UAGAAUUACAAGACGUUGUGAACAAUUCCACGCGCUGCAAUGAACCAUGGGAUUUUGCUGAGAAAGCAUGGUGUCCCAGCAUCCAGAUCCAACGGCGCUCAUGUUAUUGAGAAGAUUGUGGAGAUACAGCUGCGAAGAACCACUUAAUGAACCAGUGGGCGAUUGCACCGCAACCAUCAACAAGUAUUUUUCAACCAUACUGCGAAAAUGUGCCAAAAAUUUUACUGGAACGGCUGCUUGACCAGAGGAGUUUACGAAACCCGCUACGCAUGCGCACUCAAUUGCCACGAAGGUGAAAGCGCCGCCUACUGCGCAUUGCCGCAUCCUGACGAAUGCGUCGAACCGAAGGCUCAGCGCUGGGGACGCCAUCACUACGCAAUUGAUGUGUUUUAUUAUGACAUUGAAGAUAGGAAAUGCAAGCCAUUCAAGUACUGUGGGGAACCACAACCACCAGAAUCCAAUAUGUUCACAAGCAUGUCAAUGUGCAUCAUGGAAUGCGAAGGAUUUCCAUUCAGCAAAGCUGAAUAGCACCUGCAGUACACAUAUUCAGCAACAACCCUAAAGAAUUUCAGCUGUGAAACCACGCACCAUGUAUUAUAUAUGCAUAGCGGGUGUACUGAAAAACUGCUCUUGUGGCGCAGCACAGUGAACAUUCUGACACCUCUGCAUCUUUUGGACAUUGUGGACGACGACGUGUCUUCUGUAUUGGACACAGACCACACCACGCCUUUUAAGCAAACGAUUACACGACACUCGGCUGGUCACAUCAAUCACAAAAGCUACCAGAAAGAAGUCAUUUUUCACCUACCCAAGUUUUUUGUGUUCCCCUAUAUUUCUCUCUUUCUUUACUCUUCCUUCCAUCUUCCCCAUCACUUCCCCCUGUGCAGGGUAGCAUACCGGUUAUGCCAAACUGGUUAACAUGCCUGUCUCAUCUCUCUCGUUUUCUUCUUCAAAAGGCACCAUGGGAAAGACAUUGUGACAACUGCGCACUACGGGUGCGGAGACUGAGGAAACAGUGGAUCUGUUGGCGUUCCCCUCCUCCUUUCUCUCCUCCUCACUCCCACUUCCCUCUCCCACCCCUUGCUAUACUGUAGUAUACAAAGCUUAAAAGAAUAGACUGCUGGGCGACCUGGUAAUUCAUGAUGAAUGAGAAUAGCGCGAAAAAGUGCGCUGUUAGUAUGCGCUUGUGCUGUAGCCUUCUUCGUCUUGUCUUACGUUUUUUCGCUAUAUUUUCAUUCAUAUUCAAAGCUAUGGUUUGCUUCACUCUUUCCCUUUCUCCUUCAAACCCUCUCUUCUCUUUCCCACUCCCUUGCAUAGUAUCUCUUGGCGACACGCAUUAUGAUCGAGGAGUUUAUAAAUGCGGAGUUUAUAAGUGCUGUUAUGAGACGCCUUUCCACUUAGCAUUAACUAAAGGAGAUGUGGAACGUAGACUUGUAAAAAUUUGUAGCUUUUUCGUCGAGUUUAGUUUCAGUAGUACCAGUGUUAUUUCAUGCCUUGAUUCAUGCCUUAAUUUGUACUACUUUACAUUACCAUGUUUUCUUUGUAUGCGGACUU